GAAUUUAGAAAUCUGUGACACCUAAGAACAAUCAUAGACCAUUGAUUAUAGUUGAUCCAAUGGUUGUCAUUAAUUGAAUUUUAUUAAAAAUUAUAGUACCUUAUUAAAUCUAAAUUGUCGAUUAGUAUGAAUAGGGUCAUACAAGUAAUUAUCUAUGUGAAUAAAAAAGGAAUCAUAAUCAAGAUUUAAUGUAUCCCAUUUAUUGCGUUGACUAAAAGGAAGAAAUCAUUUUUUGAGUUAAAUUAGUGUCUUUUCACUGCCCAUUUACCCCUUUCAUCUUCAUCUCUCUUUUUCGGCCACCAUUACUGAGGAAGAAGUAAGUAUUCCGGCCAACAAGAAAUUUCCGUCACUUGGGUGUCCUCUAUUCAUCUAUAUCGGCCGAAAGAUCCGGCAAUCGAACAAGGCACAGGGUUAUACCUCAUGCGCCAUUUGGAGAUUUUUAUGGGCGAUGGAUCAAAAAGUUUGAAGUGUGGAAUGUCGUCGUCGUCUCCACAUCAUAUGAGCCGUAUGCGAGUUAGAUAUUGUGCCGCGAUUUUAAAUUGCAAGUACAAUGAUGUGUCUACAUAUGAGCCGUAUGCGAGCUGAAAUGUGUGUCUAUACAUUAUCGAGAGUUGUGCAAGAAUAGUAACUUCAAUGCUAACUAUGUUUUACUUAGACGAGACAAGUCAGUAAUAUGAACAAGUUAUAAACUUCCAAAAAAUACUAUGUUUUAUGCCAUAUUUCAAUAAA